AUUGAACGCUGGCGGAAUGCUUUACACAUGCAAGUCGAACGGUAGAGGGGGCAACCCCUUGAGAGUGGCGAACGGGUGAGUAAUACAUCGGAACAUGCCCAGUCGUGGGGGAUAACGUAGCGAAAGCUACGCUAAUACCGCAUACGAUCUAUGGAUGAAAGCGGGGGACCGAAAGGCCUCGCGCGAUUGGAGUGGCCGGUGGCAGAUUGGGUAGUUGGUGGGGUAAAGGCCUACCAAGCCUGCGAUCUGUAGCUGGUCUGAGAGGACGACCAGCCACACUGGGACUGAGACACGGCCCAGACUCCUACGGGAGGCAGCAGUGGGGAAUUUUGGACAAUGGGCGCAAGCCUGAUUCAGCCAUUCCGCGUGCAGGAUGAAGGCCCUCGGGUUGUAAACUGCUUUUGUGCGGAACGAAAAGGUGGCCUCUAAUACAGGUUGCUGAUGACGGUACCGUAAGAAUAAGCACCGGCUAACUACGUGCCAGCAGCCGCGGUAA
rnacentral:rRNA from 1 species